rnacentral:rRNA from 1 species
GACGAACGCUGGCGGCGUGCUUAACACAUGCAAGUCGAACGGAAAGGCCCUGCUUUUGUGGGGUGCUCGAGUGGCGAACGGGUGAGUAACACGUGAGUAACCUGCCCUUGACUUUGGGAUAACUUCAGGAAACUGGGCCUAUUACCGAUUAGAGCUUCUUCCUCCUGGUGGGGGUUGGAAAGUUUCCGGCGGUUGGGGAUGGACUCGCGGCUUAUCAGCUUGUUGGUGGGGUAGUGGCUUACCAAGGCUUUGACGGGUAGCCGGCCUGAGAGGGUGACCGGCCACAUUGGGACUGAGAUACGGCCCAGACUCCUACGGGAGGCAGCAGUGGGGAAUAUUGCACAAUGGGCGGAAGCCUGAUGCAGCAACGCCGCGUGCGGGAUGACGGCCUUCGGGUUGUAAACCGCUUUCGCCUGUGACGAAGCGUGAGUGACGGUAAUGGGUAAAGAAGCACCGGCUAACUACGUG